CCUGCAGGAAAGGACAUCAACCGAGACUCCGCAAGUAGUGGCGAGCGAACGCGGACCAGGCCAGUGGCAAUGAGGAAUGAAGUGGAACGGUUUGGAAAGGCCGGCCGCAGCGGGUGACAGCCCCGUACACGUAGAACACUCAUUGUCCUUGAGUAGGGCGGGACACGAGAAAUCCUGUCUGAACAUGGGGAGACCACUCUCCAAGCCUAAGUACUCGUGCAUGACCGAUAGCGAACAAGUACCGUGAGGGAAAGGUGAAAAGCACCCCGACAAGGGGAGUGAAAUAGAACCUGAAACCGGAUGCCUACAAACAGUCGGAGCCCGCAAGGGUGACGGCGUACCUUUUGUAUAAUGGGUCAACGACUUAGUGUGACAUGCAAGCUUAAGCCGGUAGGUGGAGGCGUAGCGAAAGCGAGUCUGAACAGGGCGCCUUAGUAUGUCGCAUUAGACCCGAAACCGAGUGAUCUAGCCAUGAGCAGGUUGAAGGUUGGGUAACACCAACUGGAGGACCGAACCCGCAUCUGUUGCAAUAGAUUGGGAUGACUUGUGGCUAGGGGUGAAAGGCCAAUCAAACUCGGAAAUAGCUGGUUCUCCGCGAAAUCUAUUUAGGUAGAGCGUCGACCGAAUACCCCCGGGGGUAGAGCACUGGAUGGGCUAUGGGGACUCACCGUCUUACUGAUCCUAACCAAACUCCGAAUACCGGGGAGUACUAGUCGGCAGACACACGGCGGGUGCUAACGUCCGUCGUGAAGAGGGCAACAACCCUGACCUCCAGCUAAGGUCCCCAAGUCAUGGCUAAGUGGGAAAGGAUGUGAGGAUCCCAAAACAACCAGGAUGUUGGCUUAGAAGCAGCCAUCAUUUAAAGAAAGCGUAACAGCUCACUGGUCUAAACAAGGGUCUUUGCGCCGAAAAUGUAACGGGGCUGAAGCCAUGCACCGAAGCUGAGGAUACGUCGCAAGACGUGUGGUAGCGGAGCGUUCCGUAAGCCUGUGAAGGGAUACCCGUGAGGGGUCCUGGAGGUAUCGGAAGUGCGAAUGUUGACAUGAGUAACGAUAAAGAGGGUGAGAGACCCUCUCGCCGAAAGACCAAGGGUUCCUGCUUAAAGUUAAUCUGAGCAGGGUUAGCCGGCCCCUAAGACGAGGCGGACACGCGUAGUCGAUGGGAACCACGUUAAUAUUCGUGGGCCUGGUGGUAGUGACGGAUCGCUUAACUUGUCCGGACUUAUUGGAUUGUCCUGGCUUGGACGCGGUCCCGGGAAAUAGCUCCACCGUAUAGACCGUACCCGAAACCGACACAGGUGGUCAGGUAGAGUAUACCAAGGCGCUUGAGAGAACUGCGUUGAAGGAACUCGGCAAAUUGCACGCGUAACUUCGGAAGAAGCGUGACCCUUUUGUACGCAAGUAUGAUGGGGUGGCACAGACCAGGGGGUAGCGACUGUUUAUCAAAAACACAGGGCUCUGCGAAGUCGCAAGACGACGUAUAGGGUCUGACGCCUGCCCGGUGCUGGAAGGUUAAGAGGAGGGGUGCAAGCUCUGAAUCGAAGCCCCAGUAAACGGCGGCCGUAACUAUAACGGUCCUAAGGUAGCGAAAUUCCUUGUCGGGUAAGUUCCGACCUGCACGAAUGGCGUAACGACUUCCCCGCUGUCUCCAACGCAGACUCAGUGAAAUUGAAUUCCCCGUGAAGAUGCGGGGUUCCUGCGGUCAGACGGAAAGACCCCGUGCACCUUUACUAUAGCUUUACACUGGCAUUCGUGUCGGCAUGUGUAGGAUAGGUGGUAGGCUUUGAAGCAGGGACGCCAGUUCCUGUGGAGCCACCCUUGAAAUACCACCCUUAUCGUCAUGGAUGUCUAACCGCGGUCCGUCAUCCGGAUCCGGGACAGUGUAU
rnacentral:rRNA from 1 species